UUGGCGUUAGUUUUGAACGGGUUUUGGUGUAUUUCAAUUGUGAAUCAGAUUGAAACCGUCCAAAACUGAGGCUGAU
rnacentral:pre_miRNA from 1 species